rnacentral:rRNA from 1 species
AACGAACGCUGGCGGCAGGCCUAACACAUGCAAGUCGAGCGAGGACUUCGGUUCUAGCGGCGGACGGGUGAGUAACGCGUGGGAAUGUGCCCUUCUCUACGGAAUAGCCCUGGGAAACUGGGAGUAAUACCGUAUACGCCCUAUUGGGGAAAGAUUUAUCGGAGAAGGAUCAGCCCGCGUUGGAUUAGGUAGUUGGUGGGGUAAUGGCCUACCAAGCCGACGAUCCAUAGCUGGUUUGAGAGGAUGAUCAGCCACACUGGGACUGAGACACGGCCCAGACUCCUACGGGAGGCAGCAGUGGGGAAUCUUAGACAGUGGGGGCAACCCUGAUCUAGCCAUGCCGCGUGAGUGAUGAAGGCCUUAGGGUUGUAAAGCUCUUUCAGCUGGGAAGAUAAUGACGGUACCAGCAGAAGAAGCCCCGGCUAACUCCGUG